UGCUUGGGGCUGCAGCGCUCCGGGAGGGAGCGGCCGGGUCGCCCCGAGAGGGAGGAAUCGCCCCUUGCCCUCGGGCGGGCAGCCCGCUGCCAAAGUUUCAGGCAGCCGGUAAGAGGUGACGCGAGGAAACGCCUCCCCAGACCGAGGAACCACUCGAGGAAAUAGUAAAUGGCCAGCACGGGGACUGUGGAAUUACAUCCUCUCCCGGUCGCUUGGAAGACGUCCAUGAAUAACAAGUGUCCCCGGUGGAAACGAGGGGAAAUGUUUACUGCUGUCAUGUCUGACCAAAUCGUUUUGUAGACGGAGCUGCUGCCGGCGGGAAAUGUAUAUGCAAGCAGACAAAAUAAGGCAGUUAGGCAUCGAGACGUCAUACAAAUGGCCAAAAAUUACCUGUUGCCCAAACAGCUAGGCAGUUAUCCUAGGAAACAUACCAUGUCACAGGUCAUUUUAUUUACCCUUCAUAUUUCCCAAUUUGAAGCAGACUGAGAAAAAAAAUUCUCUCUGUCAAAAGGUUGUUCUCCCAAUAAUGGUCUCAUGCAAUAAAUUACAGCUUUACCACUGCUUUGACCCUUCACUUAAUUGCUCGUGCUUCGGAAGACGGCUAAUAAUGAGAUUACAACAUCUACACUGGGUCAGAUUGAUGUCAGCCUUAGCUACCCAGGUUUCUUUAGCUACCCCGUGGAUUAAUUUGGCUGUGUCGAUUCUUUUCACUUCUAUUUACCUUAACAAUUCCAGUUUGAAUUAAAACAUGAAGAAUCCUACGAGA